UACGGAGGGGGCAAGCGUUGUUCGGAAUUAUUGGGCGUAAAGGGCGCGUAGGCGGCUUGGCAAGUCAAAGGUGAAAUCCCUCGGCUCAACUGAGGAACUGCCUUUGAAACUGCCUGGCUUGAGGCCGGGAGGGGGUAGCGGAAUUCCCAGUGUAGCGGUGAAAUGCGUAGAUAUUGGGAGGAACACCAGUGGCGAAGGCGGCUACCUGGACCGGUUCUGACGCUGAGGAGCGAAAGCGUGGGGAGCAAACAGG
rnacentral:rRNA from 1 species